CCAGCUGUAAACGAUGGUCACUAGGUGUGGGUGGUGGUCAAGCCAUCCGUGCCGGAGUUAACGCAAUAAGUGACCCACCUGGGGAGUACGACCGCAAGGUUGAAACUCAAAGGAAUUGACGGGGGCCCGCACAAGCGGUGGAGCAUGUGGUUUAAUUCGAAGCAACGCGAAGAACCUUACCAGGCCUUGACAUAUAGGUAGUAGCGAAUCGAAAGAGGAGCGAAUUUUUGGAAACGAAAAUAGCCUAUACAGGUGG
rnacentral:rRNA from 1 species